rnacentral:rRNA from 1 species
UACGUAGGGGGCAAGCGUUGUCCGGAAUCAUUGGGCGUAAAGCGCGUGUAGGCGGCCCGAUAAGUCCGCUGUGAAAGUCCAGGGCUCAACCCUGGAAUGCCGGUGGAUACUGUCGGGCUCGAGUCCGGAAGAGGCGAGUGGAAUUCCUGGUGUAGCGGUGAAAUGCGCAGAUAUCAGGAGGAACACCAAUGGCGAAGGCAGCUCGCUGGGACGGUACUGACGCUGAGACGCGAAAGCGUGGGGAGCGAACAGG